AUGACAUACACACACUCACUCAAACGGACAUACAAACACAAUGGAAACACACUGGACACACACAAACACACUGGACACACACACACACACACACACACACACUGGACCCACUGGAUAAACAUACACACUGGAAACACACACACACACACUCACUGGACACACACACACUCACUAGACGCACACACACACACACUGACACACACGCUUGACACACACACGCUUGACACACACACUGGAUACACACACACAAACACACUGGAUACACACACACACACACACACACACUGGAUACACACACACACACACACACACACACACACACACACACACACACACACACACACACACACACACACACACUGGAUACACACACACAAACACACUGGAUACACACACACAAACACACACAAACACAAACACACUGAAACACACUGGACACUCACACGUGUUAAAUCAGUUUCUGGACCACAGGUUCUAGAACAGCUUCUAUCCCAGUUCUAUCUGCCUGUUAAAUCAGUUUCUGGACCACAGGUUCUAGAACAGCUUCUAUCCCAGUUCUAUCUGCCUGUUAAAUCAGUUUCUGGACCACAGGUUCUAGAACAGCUUCUAUCCCAGUUCUAUCUGCCUGUUAAAUCAGUUUCUGGACCACAGGUUCUAGAACAGCUUCUAUCCCAGUUCUAUCUGCCUGUUAAAUCAGUUUCUGGACCACAGGUUCUAGAACAGCUGCUAUCCCAGUUCUAUCUGCCUGUUAAAUCAGUUUCUGGACCACAGGUUCUAGAACAGCUUCUAUCCCAGUUCUAUCUGCCUGUUAAAUCAGUUUCUGGACCACAGGUUCUAGAACAGCUUCUAUCCCAGUUCUAUCUGCCUGUUAAAUCAGUUUCUGGACCACAGGUUCUGGAACAGCUUCUAUCCCAGUUCUAUCUGCCUGUUAAAUCAGUUUCUGGACCACAGGUUCUAGAACAGCUUCUAUCCCAGUUCUAUCUGCCUGUUAAAUCAGUUUCUGGACCACAGGUUCUAGAACAGCUUCUAUCCCAGUUCUAUCUGCCUGUUAAAUCAGUUUCUGGAUCACAGGUUCUAGAACAGCUUCUAUCCCAGUUCUAUCUGCCUGUUAAAUCAGUUUCUGGACCACAGGUUCUAGAACAACUUCUAUCCCAGUUCUAUCUGCCUGUUAAAUCAGUUUCUGGAUCACAGGUUCUAGAACAGCUUCUAUCCCAGUUCUAUCUGCCUGUUAAAUCAGUUUCUGGACCACAGGUUCUAGAACAGCUUCUAUCCCAGUUCUUACUGCCUGUUAAAUCAGUUUCUGGACCACAGGUUCUAGAACAGCUUCAAUCCCAGUUCUAUCUGCCUGUUAAAUCAGUUUCUGGACCACAGGUUCUAUCCCGGUUCUAUCUGCCUCUUAAAUCAGUUUCUGGACCACAGGUUCUAUCCCGGUUCUAUCUGCCUGUUAAAUCAGUUUCUGGACCACAGGUUCUAGAACAGCUUCUAUCCCAGUUCUAUCUGCCUGUUAAAUCAGUUUCUGGACCACAGGUUCUAGAACAGCUUCUAUCCCAGUUCUAUCUGCCUGUUAAAUCAGUUUCUGGACCGCAGGUUCUAGAACAGCUUCUAUCCCAGUUCUAUCUGCCUGUUAAAUCAGUUUCUGGACCGCAGGUUCUAGAACAGCUUCUAUCCCAGUUCUAUCUGCCUGUUAAAUCAGUUUCUGGACCGCAGGUUCUAGAACAGCUUCUAUCCCAGUUCUAUCUGCCUGUUAAAUCAGUUUCUGGACCGCAGGUUCUAGAACAGCUUCUAUCCCAGUUCUAUCUGCCUGUUAAAUCAGUUUCUGGACCGCAGGUUCUAGAACAGCUUCUAUCCCAGUUCUGUCUGCCUGUUAAAUCAGUUUCUGGACCACAGGUUCUAGAACAGCUUCUAUCCCAGUUAUGUCUGCCUGUUAAAUCAGUUUCUGGAUCACAGGUUCUAGAACAGCUGCUAUCCCAGUUCUAUCUGCCUGUUAAAUCAGUUUCUGGAUCGCAGGUUCUAGAACAGCUUCUAUCCCAGUUCUAUCUGCCUGUUAAAUCAGUUUCUGGACCGCAGGUUCUAGAACAGCUUCUAUCCCAGUUCUAUCUGCCUGUUAAAUCAGUUUCUGGACCACAGGUUCUAGAACAGCUUCUAUCCCAGUUCUAUCUGCCUGUUAAAUCAGUUUCUGGACCACAGGUUCUAGAACAGCUUCUAUCCCAGUUCUAUCUGCCUGUUAAAUCAGUUUCUGGACCACAGGUUCUAGAACAGUUUCUAUCCCAGUUCUAUCUGCCUGUUAAAUCAGUUUCUGGACCACAGGUUCUAGAACAGCUUCUAUCCCAGUUCUAUCUGCCUGUUAAAUCAGUUUCUGGACCACAGGUUCUAGAACAGCUUCUAUCCCAGUUCUAUCUGCCUGUUAAAUCAGUUUCUGGAUCACAGGUUCUAGAACAGCUUCUAUCCCAGUUCUAUCUGCCUGUUAAAUCAGUUUCUGGACCACAGGUUCUAGAACAGCUUCUAUCCCAGUUCUAUCUGCCUGUUAAAUCAAUUUCUGGACCACAGGUUCUAGAACAGCUUCUAUCCCAGUUCUAUCUGCCUGUUAAACCAGUUUCUGGACCACAGGUUCUAGAACAGCUUCUAUCCCAGUUCUAUCUGCCUGUUAAACCAGUUUCCGGACCACAGGUUCUAGAACAGCUUCUAUCCCAGUUCUAUCUGGCUGUUAAAUCAGUUUCUGGACCACGGGUUCUAGAACAGCUUCUAUCCCAGUUCUAUCUGGCUGUUAAAUCAGUUUCUGGACCACAGGUUCUAGAACAGCUUCUAUCCCAGUUCUAUCUGCCUGUUAAAUCAGUUUCUGGACCACAGGUUCUAGAACAGCUUCUAUCCCAGUUCUAUCUGCCUGUUAAAUCAGUUGCUGGACCACAGGUUCUAGAACAGCUUCUAUCCCAGUUCUAUCUGCCUGUUAAAUCAGUUUCUGGACCACAGGUUCUAGAACAACUUCUAUCCCGGUUCUAUCUGCCUGUUAAAUCAGUUUCUGGACCACAGGUUCUAGAACAGCUUCUAUCCCGGUUCUAUCUGCCUGUUAAAUCAGUUUCUGGACCACAGGUUCUAGAACAGCUUCUAUCCCGGUUCUAUCUGCCUGUUAAAUCAGUUUCUGGACCACAGGUUCUAGAACAGCUUCUAUCCCGGUUCUAUCUGCCUGUUAAAUCAGUUUCUGGACCACAGGUUCUAGAACAGCUUCUAUCCCAGUUCUAUCUGCCUGUUAAAUCAGUUUCUGGACCACAGGUUCUAGAACAGCUUCUAUCCCAGUUCUAUCUGCCUGUUAAAUCAGUUUCUGGACCACAGGUUCUAGAACAGCUUCUAUCCCAGUUCUAUCUGCCUGUUAAAUCAGUUUCUGGACCACAGGUUCUAGAACAGCUUCUAUCCCAGUUCUAUCUGCCUGUUAAAUCAGUUUCUGGACCACAGGUUCUAGAACAGCUUCUAUCCCAGUUCUAUCUGCCUGUUAAAUCAGUUUCUGGACCACAGGUUCUAGAACAGCUUCUAUCCCAGUUCUAUCUGCCUGUUAAAUCAGUUUCUGGACCACAGGUUCUAGAACAGCUUCUAUCCCAGUUCUAUCUGCCUGUUAAAUCAGUUUCUGGACCACAGGUUCUAGAACAGCUUCUAUCCCAGUUCUAUCUGCCUGUUAAAUCAGUUUCUGGACCACAGGUUCUAGAACAGCUUCUAUCCCAGUUCUAUCUGCCUGUUAAAUCAGUUUCUGGACCACAGGUUCUAGAACAGCUUCUAUCCCAGUUCUAUCUGCCUGUUAAAUCAGUUUCUGGACCAGAGGUUCUAGAACAGCUUCUAUCCCAGUUCUAUCUGCCUGUUAAAUCAUAA
rnacentral:lncRNA from 1 species